UACGUAGGGUGCGAGCGUUAAUCGGAAUUACUGGGCGUAAAGCGUGCGCAGGCGGUUUUGUAAGCCAGAUGUGAAAGCCCCGGGCUUAACCUGGGAAUGGCAUUUGGGACUGCAAGGCUUGAGUGCGGCAGAGGAGACUGGAAUUCCUGGUGUAGCAGUGAAAUGCGUAGAUAUUCGGAAGAACACCAGUGGCGAAGGCGGCUCACUGGACUGGUAUUGACGCUGAGGUGCGAAAGCGUGGGGAGCAAACAGG
rnacentral:rRNA from 1 species